rnacentral:rRNA from 1 species
ACGGGUGAGUAACGCGUGGGUAACCUGCCCUGUACAGGGGGAGUAACAGCUGGAAACGGCUGCUAAUACCGCAUAAGCGCACGAGGAGACAUCUCCUUGUGUGAAAAACUCCGGUGGUACAGGAUGGGCCCGCGUCUGAUUAGCUAGUUGGUGAGAUAACAGCCCACCAAGGCGACGAUCAGUAGCCGACCUGAGAGGGUGACCGGCCACAUUGGGACUGAGACACGGCCCAGACUCCUACGGGAGGCAGCAUG